AUUGAACGCUGGCGGCAUGCCUUACACAUGCAAGUCGAACGGUAACGCGGGGGCAACCCUGGCGACGAGUGGCGAACGGGUGAGUAAUACAUCGGAACGUACCCAGUAGUGGGGGAUAGCUCGGCGAAAGCCGGAUUAAUACCGCAUACGACCUACGGGUGAAAGCGGGGGAUCGAAAGACCUCGCGCUAUUGGAGCGGCCGAUGUCGGAUUAGCUUGUUGGUGAGGUAAAAGCUCACCAAGGCGACGAUCCGUAGCUGGUCUGAGAGGACGACCAGCCACACUGGGACUGAGACACGGCCCAGACUCCUACGGGAGGCAGCAGUGGGGAAUUUUGGACAAUGGGCGAAAGCCUGAUCCAGCCAUGCCGCGUGUGUGAAGAAGGCCUCGGUUGUAAGUAC
rnacentral:rRNA from 1 species